GCCUCCUACGGGAGGCAGCAGUGGGGAAUAUUGGGCAAUGGAGGAAACUCUUACCCAGCAAUGCCGCGUGAGUGAAGAAGGUCGUCGGAUUGUAAAGCUCUUUGAUUGGGGAUGAAAAAACGACGGUACCCAAAGAACAAGCCCCGGCUAACUACGUGCCAGCAGCCGCGGUAAUACGUAGGGGGCAAGCGUUGUCCGGAAUGACUGGGCGUAAAGGGUGUGUAGGCGGUUUAUUAAGUUAGAAGUGAAAUACCUAGGGCUUAACCCAGGUGCUGCUUCUAAAACUGAUAGACUUGAG
rnacentral:rRNA from 1 species